rnacentral:rRNA from 1 species
GAUGAAUGCUGGCGGCGCGCCUAACACAUGCAAGUCGAGCGGUAAGGCCCUUCGGGGUACACGAGCGGCGGACGGCUGAGUAACGCGUGGGAACAUACCCCAAAGUGAGGGAUAAGCUCGAGAAAUCGAGUCUAAUACCGCAUAUGAUCUUCGGAUUAAAGGAUUUAUCCGCUUUGGGAGUGGCCCGCGUACGAUUAGGUAGUUGGUGAGGUAAAGGCUCACCAAGCCCACGAUCGUUAACUGGUCUGAGAGGAUGAUCAGUCAGACUGGAACUGAGACACGGUCCAGACUCCUACGGGAGGCAGCAGUGAGGAAUCAUCCACAAUGGGCGAAAGCCUGAUGGAGCGACGCCGCGUGCAGGAUGAAGGCCUUCGGGUUGUAAACUGCUUUUAUAAGUGAAGAAUAUGACGGUAACUUAUGAAUAAGCACCGGCUAACUACGUGCCAGCAGCCGCCGUA